rnacentral:rRNA from 1 species
GUGGGGAAUUGUUCGCAAUGGGCGAAAGCCUGACGACGCAACGCCGCGUGGAGGAUGAAGAAUUUCGGUUCGUAAACUCCUUUCGACCGAGAUGAAUAUCCCGAGAUCUAAUAAGUUUCGGGACUGACAGUAUCGAGAGAAGAAGCCCCGGCUAACUCUGUGCCAGCAGCCGCGGUAAUACAGGGGGGGCAAGCGUUGUUCGGAAUUACUGGGCGUAAAGGGUUCGUAGGUGGCCACUUAAGUCAGACGUGAAAUCCCUCAGCUUAACUGGGGAACUGCGUCUGAUACUGGGUGGCUUGAGUGCAGGAGAGGAAUGCGGAAUUCCAGGUGUAGCGGUGAAAUGCGUAGAUAUCUGGAGGAACACCGGUGGCGAAGGCGGCAUUCUGGACUGUAACUGACACUGAGGAACGAAAGCCAGGGGAGCAAA